AGUAGGUAUGGAGAAGCCAAGGGAGGCACUAAGCCUCUCCUGUUCCUAGAACAAGUUAGGCUCCUGUUCCUUCACCCACCUUUCUUCUUGUCUAGCUCCCUACUCCUGAUCCAUGCCUUCCAGUAUGUCAUCUAUGGAACUGCCUCUUUCUUCUUCCUUUAUGGGGCCCUCCUGCUGGCUGAGGGCUUCUACACCACCGGCGCAGUCAGGCAGAUCUUUGGCGACUACAAGACCACCAUCUGCGGCAAGGGCCUGAGCGCAACGUUUGUCGGCAUCACCUAUGCCCUGACCGUUGUGUGGCUCCUGGUGUUUGCCUGCUCUGCUGUGCCUGUGUACAUUUACUUCAACACCUGGACCACCUGCCAGUCUAUUGCCUUCCCCAGCAAGACCUCUGCCAGUAUAGGCAGUCUCUGUGCUGAUGCCAGAAUGUAUGGUGUUCUCCCAUGGAAUGCUUUCCCUGGCAAGGUUUGUGGCUCCAAUCUUCUGUCCAUCUGCAAAACAGCUGAGUUCCAAAUGACCUUCCACCUGUUUAUUGCUGCAUUUGUGGGGGCUGCAGCUAC
rnacentral:sRNA from 1 species